AGUAACACGUAGUCAAUCUAACCUAUGGACGAGGAUAACCUCGGGAAACUGAGAAUAAUACUCGAUAGAUCAUUAUGCCUGGAACGGUUUAUGGUUCAAAUGAAUUUCGCCAUAGGAUGGGACUGCGGUCUAUCAGCUUGUUGGUGAGGUAAUGGCCCACCAAGGCUAUAACAGAUACGGGCUCUGAGAGGAGAAGCCCGGAGAUGGGUACUGAGACACGGACCCAGGCCCUACGGGGCGCAGCAGGCGAGAAAACUUUGCAAUGUGCGAAAGCACGACAAGGUUAAUCCGAGUGAUUCCUGCUAAAGGAAUCUUUUGUUAGUCAUAAUACCACUGAUGAAUAAGGGGUGGGCAAGUUCUGGUGUCAGCCGCCGCGGUAAAACCAGCACCUCAAGUGGUCAGGAGGAUUAUUGGGCCUAAAGCAUCCGUAGCCGGCUUUGUAAGUUUUCGGUUAAAUCUAUAUGCUCAACAUAUAGGCUGCCGGGAAUACUGCAAAGCUAGGGAAUGGGAGAGGUAGACGGUACUCCGUAGGAAGGGGUAAAAUCCUUUGAUCUAUGGAUGACCACCUGUGGCGAAGGCGGUCUACCAGAACACGUCCGACGGUGAGGGAUGAAAGCUGGGGGAGCAAACCGGAUUAGAUACCCGGGUAGCCCCAGCUGUAAACUAUGCAAACUCAGUGAUGCAUUGGCUUGUGGCCAGUGCAGUGCCGCAGGGAAGCCGUUAAGUUUGCCGCCUGGGAAGUACGUACGCAAGUAUGAAACUUAAAGGAAUUGGCGGGGGAGCACCACAAGGGGUGAAGCCUGCGGUUCAAUUGGAGUCAACGCCAGAAAUCUUACCCGGAGAGACAGCAGAAUGAAGGUCAAGUUGAAGACUUUACCAGACAAGCUGAGAAGUGGUGCAUGGCCGUCGCCAGCUCGUGCCGUGAGAUGUCCUGUUAAGUCAGGUAACGAGCGAGAUCCUUGCCUCUAGUUGCCACCAUUACUCUCAGGAGUAGUGGGGCGAAUUAGCGGGACUGCCGUAGUUAAUACGGAGGAAGGAGAGGGCCACGGCAGGUCAGUAUGCCCUGAAACUCUGGGGCCACACGCGGGCUGCAAUGGUAGUGACAAUGGGUUCCGAAUCCGAAAGGAGGAGGUAAUCCUCAAACGCUACCACAGUUAUGACUGA
rnacentral:rRNA from 1 species